UCGCAUACAAGAGUGAGCCAUCUUUUGACGAUGGUAGGAUAAUUAUUGACCUGAGGAAUAAUAUGGAUUUAUGUGGUUGUGGUGGACUUUGUGUUUGUGAUUGUGAAAAUGUGAGUGUGUGUCUGUGUAUGUGUGAACCAGGGAUCCCACUUGACAAGUGGAUUUUGUGACGAGCGGAUUUACAAUGAGGGAAUGCUGUGAACAGGAAAAAUGAUGAGCUGUCCUAACUUGCCCAGACAUGCCAUGAUGACGUCACAGCUGACGUCACAGGAUGUCCGGAACUGGUGCUGCGAUGCUUUGCAACUUGCCUCCGUGCUCCGUCGCCCAGCGACAGUCAGCGGCCGUUCCGGACCGCUUUCUACAAGAUGGCGUCGUUGAUCGUCAACUAAACUCCUUCUCUCCACUCUAUCUCUAUCUUUUUAUUUUAUUUUCUACCUAUUUUUUUAUUUUUUAUCAGCUCAAGUAGCCAGAAACUCACACAGUGGUCUGGACGUGUCUUAGAUGAUCCCCAAUUAGUGU